rfam:Dipodomys ordii contig_5568, whole genome shotgun sequence.
AGCCCAGUAGGAGUCUUAAUUUAUUUCUUAACCUUUGCUUUGUAAGGGUCUUUGUUUUUAAAUGAUUGCUUUGUCCCCAUGCC